AUAACCCUGCGAUUGAGUCCUUUAAGCACUAUAAAGAGUCAAUCUAUUAACUUGGGAGUCCGUCUCUGGCGUGUAUUACAAGCCUCCUUUGAGUGGAAGUAAAAAGCGCUCAGGAGGGCACCCACCGUGUCAUGCGGGUUCUUUAUGGGCUGGGACAAGGUUGCAGGGUUUUU
rnacentral:other from 1 species